ACGGAGGGGGUUAGCGUUGUUCGGAAUUACUGGGCGUAAAGCGCACGUAGGCGGAUCAGAAAGUUGGGGGUGAAAUCCCGGGGCUCAACCCGGAACUGCCUCAAAACUCUGGUCUUGAGUUCGAGAGAGGUGAGUGGAAUUCCGAGUGUAGAGGUGAAAUUCGUAGAUAUUCGGAGGAACACCAGAGGCGAAGGCGGCUCACUGGCUCGAUACUGACGCUGAGGUGCGAAGUGUGGGAGCAAACAGGAUUAGAUACCCGGC
rnacentral:rRNA from 1 species